UGUGCCAGCAGCCGCGGUAAUACGUAGGGUGCGAGCGUUGUCCGGAAUUAUUGGGCGUAAAGAGCUUGUAGGCGGUUUGUCGCGUCUGCUGUGAAAGCCCGGGGCUUAACCCCGGGUCUGCAGUGGGUACGGGCAGGCUAGAGUGUGGUAGGGGAGACUGGAAUUCCUGGUGUAGCGGUGGAAUGCGCAGAUAUCAGGAGGAACACCGAUGGCGAAGGCAGGUCUCUGGGCCACUACUGACGCUGAGAAGCGAAAGCGUGGGGAGCGAACAG
rnacentral:rRNA from 1 species